UCUCACUUACCCCUUCGUGGGCUAACACUAUAUAUACCCCCACCUCCUCCUAGAUAGGGUUAGCAUAGGUUUAGCUCAUAUUAGAGAUAGAGCUUUGCUCAUCCAUUAGGAUCUACUCCACGAGAGAGACCGCGGCCCCUCUACGGAGAAGAUCCCCCUUGGAUUCAAGACCUCCUCACGGAGAAGACCCCCUUCAAGACCAACUCACGGAGAAGAACCGGUUACCUUUGUCCUUUGUUGACUUUGGAUCUUGUAUCUCCUCUUGUGUUGCGAGGAUCUAGCACAUGUGUGGCUACAUCUUGUUGGUUUGAGAGUUCCUCUUGUGUUUUCCCUUGUGAUUCCCCGUGUGUUCUUCGUGUUCUUAGUUGGGAUCCGCUCCUUUCGUGAAAGAUCGGCCGUAUAGGGUUCCACCCUACAUCAUCUUGGUAUCAUGAGCCACGUUGAUCACGAUUUCGGAGCCUCCCCGUUGUGUUUUCUAGCCUAGUUUUGUUGAUUUUGUCCCAAAUUCGAAAAUCCCCACCAAAAAAUAGCCCCCAAUUUUUUUUGUGAUUUGUUGGUGUGAUGAUGUUUUGUUGAAUUUGAUCCGUGGAUUUGCUUUGUUACUUGUGGAUCUAGCUUUCCCCCAUUUUUUCCCACUUUCCAUCCACGAAAUCUCCACAAUUUUGCCCCCGAAAUCAUCAAUUUCCGCCCCCAAAAUCGAGUUCCUCGAGUUCAUCCUCGGAUUUGGAGCCCGGACAUCCGGCCCGUAGCCCCGGACAUCUGGCCCCCCGGACAUCCGGCCCGUAGCCCGGACAUCCAGCUCCUGGAGCGCAAUUUCGCGCGCGGUUCUGGACAUCAGGUCUCGGAAAUCCGGCCCGUGCCCCGGAUGUCCGGCCCCUGACAUUUCAGCCUUCCCCGUUUCACCGUUUUGUCCAUAACUAAUUCAUAUGGAGUCCGUUUUUGACGUUCUUUAGCUCGUUUUGAAGCUAUUGACAUUCCCAUAACACAAAAACACUACCAUCCCCAUUUGACUCCAUUAAAUUUUUGGAACUUUGGCAUCUUUGCCUAGGGCUUCCACCAUAACUUCCGCAAAACCACCAUAGCCUUCCGCAACCUAACCCAAUUUGUUCGCCAUAGCAUUAGUGGUUGUUUGAGUUGCGAUUCGAGUCUCCUAAGGUGUUUCGGCUACUUAGGGACGAUUGCUUCUUCAUCAACCACCACCAUAACUUCCGCAUAGGCUUGCCCACCAUACACUUCCACCAUCCCAACUUAACCCAAUUUUGUUUGUGUUAUGAAUUGUGUCUCCUAAGGUAUUUCGGCUACUUAGGGUCCGUGCUUCCAACUCCGACACCGUGUAUAGUCCACCACCUUACACUCCACUUCCACAUUGCGUCUCAAAACCCAUUGUUGCAUUUCCGCAAUCCCUUUGAGUUUCCGCAAAACCACCACCGCAUUCCCGCUACCACCAUUUAACAUUUGACAUUUGAGAUUUUGAGUUCGCGGUUUUCACGUUUCCUAAGGUGUUUCGGCUACUUAGGGACGAGUCUCCAUCAUCUUGGUAUCUCCAUCAAGAUCACCACCACUCAUCAUCGCCAAGGACGGUAACCUCCAUAUCUUCUUGGUAUCGUGGUAUCCCUCCAUUGUAUAUUACCUUGCAAUUGCAUUGAUAACCCCUAGCCCAUUUUGCGUCACUUGCCUAUCGAGACUAGCCAUUUGAGUAUUGUCGGCAACGUUACUUGUGCACAUUAGUGAUCUACACCUUCCAUUGCAUACAUACCAUAUCAUAUUGGUAUCAUAUAAUCUCGUGUGCCUCAAGUUUGUUCCCGCAUAUACAAUUUCUAUCUUGGUUUGUGCAUUUCGCAAAGUGGCCAUACAUAUAAAAAAAGAGAAUAAGCUUUUAAGCAAAAGAGCAAAGAGCUUGUAAGCAAGUGCCAUAGCAUCAUACCACAUUGCAUAUAAGAUUGUCAUAUCUGAUCAUCUUGGAUCUUCUUGAGAGAAACACCGGGAACCAUACAUAUAUAGCAUACUUGGGAUAGAAAGUUUCUCCAUUUUGCAUAUCAUAGGUCGUGCACAAGUGACGUAUCCGCCUAUAGAGCAAUCGUGCUAGCGUCUCUCUUGAGUUGUGCAACACGAGCGUUUUCCGUGGAUUCCACAUUUUGUGCUCAUUCCUUGGUUGCACAACCCCAUUUAUCUAUCCGUGUGUGUGUUUCCGUGUGCCAUUCAUUGCUAUUGGUCUACUUGUUUCACUUGCGAAUUUGUGAAUCUCUUUCAACAUUAUUGACUCUUGCUAACAUUUUGCAUCAAAUUUUUGUGCUACUAUCCUCACCGAGCUCCAUCAUAAGCCUUACUUGUGUAGGUGUGAGAAACCGACAAGAAUUGGUACCAAUUGUGCUAUUUCCUUGUUACACAUUGAGUGAUCAUUGAUCCAUCUUCAACAUCGAUCAAGGUACAUUUGGUAUAGUUCUUCUCUUUCUCCCACUCAUAUUUGCUCGAGUCUUGUGAUGGAUAGGCAAGGCAUUUCAUCUCCGGUCUUCGACAACAACGACGGCGUGAACAACUACAUCACCAAAUCGUCCAUCUUCGAACUACAACGAGCAUCGAAAGCCGCACAUUAUACCUUGCAAGAGCGCAUCGAGAACCUCUCCAUCGACAUUCAUCACUCCGAAGCAAGGAAAAUGGACUACAUCGACAACAAGCUUUCCGCACAAAAGGAGGAGCAAGAUGCAAGAAUGAAGGAGAUUCGGGCCUUGAUCAAGUCUACUUCCAAUUCGUCAUCUUCAAGGCGGCGGCGAGCAAGUCGACCAUCUUCGGAGCGCCCAAGCGAUGCAAGCGCAAUUCGUCCACGUCCACAUCUACAUGGCGACCACCAUCACGUUCGUGAUCCACAUCGCCAUGAAGGGCAAGUCACCUCCAAGCAUCAUGUGCACGAUGACGACGAACGACAUCUACUACGAGCUCAAGUACGACAACGACACCAUCAACAUGAAGAUGCUCGAGAUGCGCCUACCUUCAAGUCCCAACAAGCCCUACUUCGCGCCAAGGACAAACUUCAUGAGCAAAAGAGAAGACCGCGAGACGAGCACCACCAAGACGGAGCUACGGCUACAACAACCACUUCGGCAUCUUCGCCAAGAGCUAUUAAGGCAUCUUCGCCUUUGGACGUACGGCAUCUUCGCCUACUUCCCGUGCGUUCGCCUACAUCGACAUCUUCAACAACAAGGCGACGACCUAUGAGCGAGGGUGACACUUCCAUCUUCGAAAGCCCCUCAAGGAAGAUGGCCGAGCAUGGGAAUUUCCCUUCGGUCAUGGAGACGAGCUACGAGGUGCCACAUCAUAUGGGCCUCCAACAACAAGACGGCGACAAGAAGGUUGAGCAUGGGACUAUCCCUUCAACCAAGGCGGCGAUAGGAGUUGACCAUGGAGACAUUUGCACCAACAUCUCUCCGACACCCACAUAUGAAGAGAUGCCCCAAUUCCCAUGUGAGGAGAGCCACACCACCAUGAAUGAUAUGAGUGGCUCCACCACAUGUGACAUUGAGUGCAUUUCCUAUGAGAGGAUGAGUGUGACCACCACUAGCCCCACACAUGAGAGCAUGCCACACAUCCUAUGUGAGGUUGAGAGCCAUUUGAGUGACUCCACCAACCAUAUGAGUGAGAGAAUCUUACCGGGAGUGAGUGAGCCACAACACUUAGUGAGUGAGGUAGUUGACACGGCAUGUGAGGCCACUAUGAUUUCUAACGACUUAACCUCUACUCCGAGUGUGUUUUCUUCUUUGGUGCUAGGUCUCCUAGAUGACGACAUGCCUAUCCUCGACGAGUCCGUACCUCAAUUAGAGACGACGAUGGCCAUUGUGGACGACGAUGCACCACCCACAUGGUUCCAUCAAGAUGAAGAUGACAACGAGUGGAUCUUCGACACCUCACCUACAACACAUAAGCGAUGCUCCAAAGGUAACAUAGGUGAUGGUGCUUCUCUUGCCCCACUAGUGGAAUAUCUCACCAAUGAUUGCUUGCAUGAUGUUGAUCCACCUAUUCCCAUGCUUCAUGCUAGUGCGACUUCUUCAUGUCAUGACUUACCCAUUUAUGAUGAAUAUGAUGAUGAGCAUGUUGAGUUGCCUAGUUGUGAUGCUAUGCUCCAUAGGAUAUCAUGUGAAAAUUCUUUUGGUCACAUCAUGUUCGACAACCCUUUAAACUUGUCAUAUGCUAUGAGUGAGAUCUCCCAUAUUGCAUCAUUUCAAUCUCAACAUAGUAACUAUGCAUGCCCCAUUAAAAUAAAUCCCAUUUGCACUUAUGGCAUAGAUGACGAAAUGAUGGUCAUUGGCUUUUGUUUUUCUUGUGAUGAUAUUGUCAUGCUUCCUUUACAUGAUUUACGCAAUUCAUCUACUAUGCCAUGCCAUGAUCACAUUGUUCCAAAUAUGCAUUGUUUUGGAUGUUGUCAAUAUUCUCCAUGUGAUGUUUCCAUUAAUGCUCAUGAGGAGACCCCCAUAGUUUCCUCAUACAUAUUAGGAGAUUUUGAUGCAUUCCAUACUUUGCAUGAUUCCCAUAAUUGCGUGCACCAUAUGCAUUCCAUGAAUAAUAAUGCUCUACAUAUUUCUUGUGAUGCUUUACACAAUUUGAGUCUCCAUUAUGAUAUACAUAAUAACAAACCUCUCAUGAUGGAUGACAUGUUUCUAUAUCACGCAUCCCAUUUAUUUGAGCAUUGGCUAUUUUGUGCUAACCAACACAUGCACGUGCGCAUCAUGAUGGAUGAUGUGUACAUCUACCACGCACACAUAAUUUUUCCUUUGCCUUUGUUUUGUGUAGGUACUCAUGUAUACUUGUCAACCUCUCAAUCCCAAGAGUUGACGAAACGAGCUCUUGAGAGCAACGACGAUUUGGGAUCCCGUGGACUAUCCUUACCACCGUUCCAUUUGCGCAAGGACUAUGCGCAUCUCUUCUACUUGGCUCUCACACGGCUUUGGGCUAUUUACCACUUGUCACCUUAUGCCCCUUCUAUCGUGUUCACUUUGCAUGUUAUGCCUCUUUACAUGACUUUGCCAUGCAAUUGUGACCCUUGCUUGCAUCUACCCAUAAUUCACCAUUAUUCUACUCCUAUGUAUAUUUGCAUGUUUGGUGAAGAUCCUUGUUGCUAUUGCCAUGUUUAUCAUGUGCCUCAUGCUAUUGUUGAUUCUUGUGUUGGGAGAGUCAUGAUGUUCCAUUGCUAUUUACAUAGGACUUCUUGCCAAUACAAUGAUGAUACUUUCCUCAUAUCUCGCUUUCAUGCUUGUGAUAUGUCAUGUGCUUUAUUCAUGCCCACUAUUUGCACACAUGACAUGAUUGCCAUGAUUCCUUCUAGUAUGUUGCAUCUUCGCACUACUAGCUUGCUUGACUUGAUCGCUAUGAUUACUUGCUUUGAUGCAUCACCCAUGUUCCAUUCUUACUCGCUUUCUUGGGUUGAUGACAUAUAUGUUCAUGCCUCUCACAUGAUAUAUCUUGAUCUUUGUCACUUGUCUCCAUUAGAUGCACCUCUCAUAUGCCAUUGUAGUGAGUGCACCCAUGUUAUGCUUAUUGAUCGUGGAGACUUGGACAUAUUACUUGUGAUGCAUGCUUGCUUGUUUAAGCCUAUUGUCUUUGGUUGUAGUUGCAUCAUAUGCUUUCAUACCAUACGACACCUUGUCCUUUCUUAUGAUAAUAAUGAUGAGAACACUUGUUGGGUAUCUUACAACUCGAAUGAUAGGUUUUGCAUUUUCGCUAACCUCAUUUGUUUUUCCGAGUGUUUGUCAUGUUAUUUCGUUUUGAAGGAUUCACAAGGCAUUACUGUCAUGAGACAUAUUGGGUAUGUGAAGGCAUACAAGAUGCGCAACACCAACAUUUUCGACAUCCUCCUAAAGGUGCACUCUUUCCCUUUGAGCCCUCUUCACAUAGGCAUAUUGGAUGGGUCAUUCUUUCAUUGUUGUUUCCUUCUUCUUGUCUACAUGAUACAUCUAUUGGAUGGAGGACCGACAUUGGAGAUCGACCCUAUGGACCAUCACAUUGAGGAGCGCUCGGACUUAUUGGAUGCACCUUCGAACCUCCACUCAUGCCACGACAUCGAGCAUUGGUACAUCAACACUCCUUUGACACAUUGCACCCCCACCUUCAUAUUUGUUGAUUGUGCUCAUACAUGUCAUGCUCGAUGGACAUAUCAUACCCAUAGCAAAUUUGCAUCUUAUGCAUGGAUUGACUCACCUUAUGAUUGCCUUGUUGCAUCUUGUAUUUCGAUGUCAUCCAUGAUAUAUGAGCUUGUGCACUUCCUUAGCAAAUUUGUUGUGAUUUUUUUUGAUGGCAUAUUCAUACAUCAUGAUCAUAUUGCCUACCAUCAAUUGCAUGAUAACAUAAUCAUUUUGAGUAUACAUUGCCAUAUUCAUGCUAUUGAUAAACCUUCCCACUAUGACAUCAUUUUGCACCGUGGUUGCAUUGAUCACAUUCACUUUACAUUUGUGUGCACAAUAAAUGCUUUUGCUCCCAUGAAUGCUUUACAUGUCAUUUUACAUCAUUUGGAUAAGCAUCUCAAGCCUUUUCAUGAACAAUUCCUUCGGACGAACUCAUACUUACUUGAUGGACACUUUGUGUGCGCUAACCAUUGUAUUUCCGAGUGUCGCUUGUGUUUGCUAUUUUUGCAUGUAUACCACUUCGGAGACACCUUGCAGUACUUGGAUUGCAAAAUGUCUUCAACUCCAUCCAACUACAAGUUCGUCCACGACUACCGUUUUCAUGGUGAUGAGGAUCACGAUCCGAGGUCGGAUCUUUCCCAAGGGAGGGGAGAUGAUGCGGAGCAUACUACGAUCAUCCCCAUGUACACUACAACGAGACCUCAACCUUACACCAUUGGACACAAGGUGAACUCGCUCCUUUCCGAAGCGUCCCUUUCCGCAUAUAAGACAUGGAUGCUACUUCAAGCCCGGACCUUGUGCAUACUCAGGUACACCCGAGGAGACCAUGGAGAGCCCAAGGACCAAGGCCAAGUGUGCGCGGGAGCAAAGGAAGGAGAAGGAAGAAGUGCAAGCUGCUACAGUAGCCGGACAUCCGGCCCCUGGCCCGGACAUCCGGCCUCUGAAGAUGUCAACAACAGCAGCAACCCAGCAACCGAAGUGCUACAGGUCCCGGACAUCCGACCAGACCCCGGGCAUCCAGCCCCUCCCGCAAACCCGGACAUCCGGCCCCAGCCCGGAAAUCCGGCGCCCAUCACAGAACGCACCCGAAGCUGAACCCCGUCAGCCCGGACAUCCGGCUCUUCGUGAGCCGCCGGACAUCCGGCCCCCAGCCCGGACAUCCGGCACCUGCCUGUGCGCAGAGAUCGGGCCAAGGGCCCGUGUAUCCCCCUCUCACUUACCCCUUCGUGGGCUAACACUAUAUAUACUCCCCCACCUCCUCCUAGCUAGGGUUAGCAUAGGUUUAGCUCAUAUUAGAGAUAGAGCUUUGCUCAUCCAUUAGGAUCUACUCCACGAGAGAGACCACGGCCCCUCUAUGGAGAAGAUCCCCCUUGGAUUCAAGACCUCCUCAUGGAGAAGAACCGGUUACCUUUGUAUCCUCCUUUGUUGACUUUGGAUCUUGUAUCUCCUCUUGUGUUGCGAGGAUCUAGCACAUGUGUGACUAUAUCUUGUUGGUUUGAGAGUUCCUUUUGUGUUUUCCCUUGUGAUUCCCCAUGUGUUCUUCGUGUUCUUAGUUGGGAUCUGCUCCUUUCGUGAAAGAUCGGCCGUAUAGGUUCCACCCUACAUCAGAUGUUUCAAUUGAAGAAGGGAAUGCAAUUUUGUUUGGUCGAUGUAUGUAUGUAUUCCUAUUGCCUGUACUAAUUGGCAUAGGCUUGCCGUAUGACGGAAGGAAGCAGAGAAACUGCGUGCGAACUACCGUAUCAAGUGGUGCUUCCUUCCUGUUGACGCAUGCAUUUUGCACGUGAUCACCGCCCGCCUUGCUGGUGCGCUGUUUGGCUUUCUGCCAUGCGUGUCCUUGAGUGUAUUCAUGCUUCACUGCACUGUCUCUAGUUAAGUUGCCUGAAAUCUCGAUUUCGACCUGGAGUUGCCUUGUCCUUGAGAUUACCAAUUUCAGUUAAAAAGUGCAGUCUACAAGGAGAGGUACGUGGGGAAGAAAUGAAUGUGAGCGAUGGCGAGUAGCAGGGGCAGAGUCUGUUCGCCGCAGCCUAGCUUGCGCGAUCGGCACGGGUGACGGAGACAGACGGCUGCCCACGUUGACCUCCAAG
rnacentral:lncRNA from 1 species